GGCAAUGUGGUCUAGUGGCUAAGGCACUGGCUUGGGAGCCAGGAGAUAAGGGUUUUACUCCUGACGCUGCCA
rnacentral:tRNA from 1 species